GGGUGACUGCGUACCUUUUGUAUAAUGGGUCAGCGACUUAUAUUCUGUAGCAAGGUUAACCGUAUAGGGGAGCCGCAGGGAAACCGAGUCUUAACUGGGCGUUAAGUUGCAGGGUAUAGACCCGAAACCCGGUGAUCUAGCCAUGGGCAGGUUGAAGGUUGGGUAACACUAACUGGAGGACCGAACCGACUAAUGUUGAAAAAUUAGCGGAUGACUUGUGGCUGGGGGUGAAAGGCCAAUCAAACCGGGAGAUAGCUGGUUCUCCCCGAAAGCUAUUUAGGUAGCGCCUCGUGAAUUCAUCUUCGGGGGUAGAGCACUGUUUCGGCUAGGGGGUCAUCCCGACUUACCAACCCGAUGCAAACUACGAAUACCGAAGAAUGUUAUCACGGGAGACACACGGCGGGUGCUAACGUCCGUCGUGAAGAGGGAAACAACCCAGACCGCCAGCUAAGGUCCCAAAGUCAUGGUUAAGUGGGAAACGAUGUGGGAAGGCCCAGACAGCCAGGAUGUUGGCUUAGAAGCAGCCAUCAUUUAAAGAAAGCGUAAUAGCUCACUGGUCGAGUCGGCCUGCGCGGAAGAUGUAACGGGGCUAAACCAUGCACCGAAGCUGCGGCAGCGACACUAUGUGUUGUUGGGUAGGGGAGCGUUCUGUAAGCCGUUGAAGGUGGCCUGUGAGGGUUGCUGGAGGUAUCAGAAGUGCGAAUGCUGACAUAAGUAACGAUAAUGCGGGUGAAAAACCCGCACGCCGGAAGACCAAGGGUUCCUGUCCAACGUUAAUCGGGGCAGGGUGAGUCGACCCCUAAGGCGAGGCCGAAAGGCGUAGUCGAUGGGAAACAGGUUAAUAUUCCUGUACUCGGUGUUACUGCGAAGGGGGGACGGAGAAGGCUAUGUUGGCCGGGCGACGGUUGUCCCGGUUUAAGCAUGUAGGCGGAUGUUCCAGGUAAAUCCGGAACGUUACUAACGCUGAGGUGUGAUGACGAGGCACUACGGUGCUGAAGUGACAAAUGCCCUGCUUCCAGGAAAAGCCUCUAAGCAUCAGGUAACAUCAAAUCGUACCCCAAACCGACACAGGUGGUCAGGUAGAGAAUACCAAGGCGCUUGAGAGAACUCGGGUGAAGGAACUAGGCAAAAUGGUGCCGUAACUUCGGGAGAAGGCACGCUGAUGGUAGGUGAAGCGACUUGCUCGUGGAGCUGAAAUCAGUCGAAGAUACCAGCUGGCUGCAACUGUUUAUUAAAAACACAGCACUGUGCAAACACGAAAGUGGACGUAUACGGUGUGACGCCUGCCCGGUGCCGGAAGGUUAAUUGAUGGGGUUAUCCGUAAGGAGAAGCUCUUGAUCGAAGCCCCGGUAAACGGCGGCCGUAACUAUAACGGUCCUAAGGUAGCGAAAUUCCUUGUCGGGUAAGUUCCGACCUGCACGAAUGGCGUAAUGAUGGCCAGGCUGUCUCCACCCGAGACUCAGUGAAAUUGAACUCGCUGUGAAGAUGCAGUGUACCCGCGGCAAGACGGAAAGACCCCGUGAACCUUUACUAUAGCUUGACACUGAACACUGGUCCUUGAUGUGUAGGAUAGGUGGGAGGCUUUGAAGUGUGGACGCCAGUCUGCAUGGAGCCAUCCUUGAAAUACCACCCUUUAAUGGCUGGUGUUCUAACGUGGGCCCGUAAUCCGGGUUGCGGACAGUGUCUGGUGGGUAGUUUGACUGGGGCGGUCUCCUCCUAAAGAGUAACGGAGGAGCACGAAGGUCAGCUAAUCCUGGUCGGACAUCAGGAGGUUAGUGCAAUGGCAUAAGCUGGCUUGACUGCGAGCGUGACGGCGCGAGCAGGUGCGAAAGCAGGUCAUAGUGAUCCGGUGGUUCUGAAUGGAAGGGCCAUCGCUCAACGGAUAAAAGGUACUCCGGGGAUAACAGGCUGAUACCGCCCAAGAGUUCAUAUCGACGGCGGUGUUUGGCACCUCGAUGUCGGCUCAUCACAUCCUGGGGCUGAAGUAGGUCCCAAGGGUAUGGCUGUUCGCCAUUUAAAGUGGUACGCGAGCUGGGUUUAGAACGUCGUGAGACAGUUCGGUCCCUAUCUGCCGUGGGCGCUGGAGAAUUGAGGGGGGCUGCUCCUAGUACGAGAGGACCGGAGUGGACGCAUCACUGGUGUUCGGGUUGUCAUGCCAAUGGCAUUGCCCGGUAGCUAAAUGCGGAAGAGAUAAGUGCUGAAAGCAUCUAAGCACGAAACUUGCCCCGAGAUGAGUUCUCCCUGACUCCUUGAGAGUCCUGAAGGAACGUUGAAGACGACGACGUUGAUAGGCCGGGUGUGUAAGCGCAGCGAUGCGUUGAGCUAACCGGUACUAAUGAACCGUGAGGCUUAACCUU
rnacentral:rRNA from 1 species